rnacentral:rRNA from 1 species
GUACACGCUGUGACUAGCAUAUCAAUAAGCGGAGGAAAAGCAAAUGCUAUUACCUACGCUUAGGAUGUUGACACACGCGCGUGCUCGACUCUAUACAUGACUCUGUGCAUAUCAAUAAGCGGAGGAAAAGAAACUAACAAGGAUUCCCUCAGUAACGGCGAGUGAGGCGGGAAGAGCUCAAAUUUGAAAUCUUGAAAGGUCUACCUUGCACGAAUUGUAGUUUAAAGAAGUGUUUUCUGUUACGAUCGUAAUAUAAGUUCUUUGGAAUAGGACAUCACAGAGGGUGAGAAUCCCGUCUAUGAUUGCAUAUUUUAGCUUUGUGAUACACUUUCAAUGAGUCGGAUUGUUUGGGAAUGCAGUCCAAAAUGGGAUGGUAAAUUUCAUCUAAGGCUAAAUAUUGGCGAGAGACCGAUAGCGAACAAGUACCGUGAGGGAAAGAUGAAAAGGACUUUGAAAAGAGAGUUAAACAGUACGUGAAAUUGUCAAAAGGGAAGCGUUUGACACCAGUGUUGUUUUCUCGAAAAUCAAUUAAAAAUGGCUCGAUUUUGUAUUGCUUGAGACCUUAAAAGCUCACUGUACAUUUUUCGUGUCUUUUUUAAUGCACUUUUCGUUUAACAAGUCAACAUCAGUUUCUUUUGUUGUAAAAGGGUCAUUGGAAGGUGGCUUUCUUUUCGGAGAAAGUGUUUAUAGCCUUUGGCCUCUGCAAUCGGAGAGACUGAGGUCUGCAGCGUAGACUCUUCGGGGUUAGAUACAUUUGUGCUAAGUUAUAGCUUUUUAUAGACAACUUGUUGACUAUAAUUAGUCUUGUAGCUUACUCGCUUAUGCUAUUUUACCUACGCUUAGGAUGUUGAGUAGCGACAUACGCAC